rnacentral:rRNA from 1 species
GAUGAACGCUGGCGGCGUGCCUAAUACAUGCAAGUCGAGCGAACAGACGAGGAGCUUGCUCCUCUGACGUUAGCGGCGGACGGGUGAGUAACACGUGGAUAACCUACCUAUAAGACUGGGAUAACUUCGGGAAACCGGAGCUAAUACCGGAUAAUAUAUUGAACCGCAUGGUUCAAUAGUUCAAGACGGUUUUGCUGUCACUUAUAGAUGGAUCCGCGCCGCAUUAGCUAGUUGGUAAGGUAACGGCUUACCAAGGCAACGAUGCGUAGCCGACCUGAGAGGGUGAUCAGCCACACUGGAACUGAGACACGGUCCAGACUCCUACGGGAGGCAGCAGUGGGGAAUCUUGCGCAAUGGGCGAAAGCCUGACGGAGCAACGCCGCGUGAGUGAUGAAGGUCUUCGGAUCGUAAAACUCUGUUAUUAGGGAAGAACAAAUGUGUAAGUAACUAUGCACGUCUUGACGGUACCUAAUCAGAAAGCCACGGCUAACUACGUG